GAUGCUAGCCGUUGGCAGGCUUGCCUGUCAGUGGCGCAGCUAACGCAUUAAGCAUCCCGCCUGGGGAGUACGGUCGCAAGAUUAAAACUCAAAGGAAUUGACGGGGGCCCGCACAAGCGGUGGAGCAUGUGGUUCAAUUCGAAGCAACGCGCAGAACCUUACCAACCUUUGACAUGUCCCGUAUGGGUACCAGAGAUGGAACCCUUCAGUUCGGCUGGCGGGAACACAGGUGCUGCAUGGCUGUCGUCAG
rnacentral:rRNA from 1 species